CUACACAGCGAAAGUUUUUGUUGUCUUAUCUCUUUAUAUAAAGUGAAAAAGGGUGUAUCUUUGUUCCAUGUCAAACUAUUCCCAUUUACAUUGUGAUUCCACAAUGCUUGCGAUCCAUAUUGUAUCACGGGCUUGAUUCAAUCAGUGGCUGAGAAUGUGUCGUAUCAUUAAGCUUUAGUUUUAACCUUCUUUGGAUUCGUUCCAGUCUAGUAAAACAUUACGCAGGAUAUCUCUCCAUUUUUCAUUAUUCAAAUAAGCCGUUUUCUAUUUGCAGCUUUCAUUGGAUCAUCAACCGAUACCACUUCAGUCUGCUUUCGUACGUCAAAUCUAAAUUCAACCCUUCACAAGGAUCUUCGCAUUUUUCGAGACAAGAAGGAUUAUGGACGCGCGAACGAUUCGUGAAGCCAUUUUUAGAUCUUGAAAACGCGGUCUUUAUUCUAACAGUGGAGACUGUACUAUGCGAAAGGCCCGAGGGGCAGCUGCCCCGUUGGUGUGCAGUACGCCUAACAACAAGCUACGCGUCAUAACUUCAAAGACAUCUCUGAAAUCUCACUACAUACUAUAAGCAGGUAAAAACAGAUAUCCCACACAGGAUUAUUUAUUACUCACACAGGAUUGAUUAGGAUCAACGCGGGUAUGGCGGCCGUUGUGGUUGCAGACUGUACGUGAGGGUAGCUACCACUCCGUACAUUUCCCUUAGAAGUAUAAUAAUAAUAAGGAGAAGCUAAGGGAAUCAGCGGUGGCGUCAGCUGGAUGGGAGCAGAGCGGGUCGAAGGAUGCACACCCAUUCCGUUGCUGUCGUCUACAGUCACCCAACACCAACCGAGGUGGGCGUUAACAAAGACGAAGAUGCCGCGACCUACCAAAUGACUGCCGUUGCGAGCGCGACGACUGGCAACCUGAGCGAAACAACAGAAGUCAACAACAGCAUAUUAAGAUAGUUCGAUUGAUAUUGCAUAAAAAUUACAAUUGAACUCAUCUCCGACGUAACGUGGCUGCUUGAGCCUCGUACGGCGUUGCCUUAGGACCUUAAGGCGAAUCAAAUGUCAGAUGCAAUUUGGUUUCUAAUGUUGCGUGAAAUCGAAUAGGAGCAGAAGCCAAUCUCGCUCUGGCAGCGCUUCCUUUCGCAGCACGAGUCGGUUGCGAAACGAACGUAGAGAGCGAAACGUAAAACGAAAAGCUUUUAGACUUUAGAGUGAAAGUAGAGUCAAGGAUUGCUGUGAUCCGCCCCAACAUUCCACUAUUCGAUCGAAUAGGAUUCGUCAACGAUGACGAACAGAAAAGCACACCGCAGGGCACGAUGUCCAAUGGUCUACGGCCUCACGUUUUUGAAUCAAUAAUUGCUAUGACUGUUUAAAAUUGAACAAGAAUGGAAAACGGCUAGGACCACAUCAGCUUUCCGUCUUCAAGAUGUUCUAGAGAAAAGUCAACAACGACGGUAAUGGUGACAGAGGUCGCUAGAUACAAAAAAAAAAGUUACCGAAUA